CGGGCUUCCUGGCGCCGACGACCGUGCCUCAAUCGGCCCCGAAGAAAUGGACCAUGGCAGUAAUAGAAGGGUCCGCUUUCUCGAAAUGUUGGGAUUCCGGAAGUAGCGAGUGCGCCGAUCCGAUCUAGUCCCAAAGGGGGAAUCAGAUUCUAAGGGGUGACGACGGAGGGCAUCCUCAGACCCGGCACAGAGUCAGGGUCACACCGACUAGUAGGAGAGUUUGGUCGAUACCUAGCAGCUGAACCAUCCGGUAAUAGGGUGGUUGAUGGAUUAGUUGCGCCCGGCCAGGAAACGGCUAUUUAGAAAGGGGGCUUCCCGCAUAUGCCAUAAUUUGGGUCAAAGGCCCUGAUAAGGCAUCGUUUCCCGUGCAAGGUGCGCAAUGA
rnacentral:rRNA from 1 species